ACAGAAUUGGAUAUGGAAUGCCAAAGCGAUGACAAACUGUCAAUUCCAAAGAAUGUGAAAUGAGGUGACAGGAAGAGCCCAAACUGCUGCCCUGGUGAGAUUCUUCCAUCUGAAAUUCAUGUCCUCAGGGUACAGCUGUGGCUGGCGGGGAGGCCUAAGGUGACAGCAUGGCGUGAC